AAUUUCCUUAUUAUGGAUUUGGGAUUGUCUGCAACUCUUAACCCAAAACUGAGAAAAAACAAUUGUUUUCUUUUGCUUUUAAAAACACUUCAUUGCGUAUUUUGGCCACUGCCUGCCUGCCUCCCUCCUAUCAAAACUCAAAAGCCAGCCCUCUCCUUUCUUUUCUGUUCCUCUUUAUUAGGGUUUCUGCUUGUUAAAAAAAGAAGCCUUGGGAAAAGUGGCACUGUUAUUUUCAACAAAUGGCUUUCUCUUCUCUCCUUAGACCUACGCCCAUCGUUUCUCUUUCACGCGCCGCCGACUUCCCUUCUUCCUCCUCCGAUCGUCUCAAGGUUCGAUUGUCAUCCUCUGUUUUUGCCUUCGUUUUUUAGAAGCUCCGUUUGGUUGUUGUUAACUGAACUGAGCUUGGAAUCUUAGUUGCCAAGAGUAUUCAAUCCAUCAAAGCCACUGCUACAGAGUUGCCACCCAUAGUUCAAAUGUGCUGAUUUGUUUUGUUUUGUUAGAAACACGGAGUAGUGGGAGCACAAAGAUUGGAAUCAAUGGUUUUUGGACUCAUUCACGAUCUUGUGGCUGAGGAUGUAGUUAUAAUUUAUUCAAGUUUUUAAUCCUUCAGCUUUGUAGAACUAUUUAUUUCUGAAUUGUUUGUCACAUACUUUGGAGCACUGCAUGAGCGUUUGCCUUGUGAUCACAAAGUAUAAAGAUUUCAUAGUUUCAAUUGUAGCGCAUAGAGAUUCAGAAGGUUGCGGUAGGAAAUCUGUAUAGGGUGCUUGUGGUAAGUGUACAUGCAAUUAUUGGUAACACAUUAUUAGCUGCAUUUCAAAUCACAUUAUUGUACAAUGGACACCUUUGCUGACUUCAUUUUGUUUAAUUCAUGUUUAACCAUGUUUCAUAUCUCACAUUAGUGUUGUUUAUUAGUUAAAGAUUGUUAAUGGUUGCAAUACAUAUAUGUAUAGUUGUCCUAUUCAAUGGAAUCAUUUCACUUUGACCUUGUAUACUGAAGUUUCAUUGGAAGGUUAUGCCAGAAAGUUAAGAAAGCUAAUAUUUGAAUUGAUGGAUUUAUUGCGAUUGCUUGAUGGACUAUGAGUCUGUUAGGGAUUGGCUUGAGCAAGAAGGAAGGACUGGGCAGCAUUAAAAUUCAAUGUGGGUUAUGGGGUUUCUUUCUCAUUCCACUGAUUGCUUACAUACGCAAUUCUACAAUGAUCCAAUCAUGGCUUACAUGUUUAAGUAUGAUUCCACUCAUGGAGUUUUUAAGGGAACCCUCAAGGUGUUGAAUAAGAAUCCACUUUGGAAAUAAAUGAGAAGCAGAUUAAAUUUUUCAGCAAAAGGGACCUGGCUAAGAUCCCUUGGGGCGAUUAUGGGGCUGAGUAUAUUGUUGAAUCUUCUGGGGUCUUCACAACAACUGACAAGGCUUCAGCUCACAUAAAGGAAACAAUGAUAUAUUCAUGCAACAAUGCUUGAAGGAGCAACUCAUCUUACUUGAAGGAGCAGAAGUAGAGUUAAGGCCUAUAGUACAACAACGAGAAAAUAAGAUUAAAUAGUUGGAAGAGCAGCUCAUCUUAUUUGAUCAACAAAAACAGAAAAUAAAAAUGCUUGAAGAACUACAUUUUCAAAUGUUGGAGAUGCUGAAAUAUAAAACAAUUAUUUUGUUGAUGUGAAUGUAUAAUAUUAAACGAAA